GACCGGGUCUUAGUCUAUACGAGUUUUUGAAAUAUUAAAAAAGGAGCAAUACCGCCUCUUGAUAGAACAAGAAAGAGGUUAUUGCUCCUUUUUUAUUUGUAUUUGUUUAAGACUUUUUUAGAUAAACUAAUAUUUUUUAAUGAUCAAAAAGGAAUACUUUUAAAUGCAAAUAAAUAAAAUAAAACUGGC
rnacentral:misc_RNA from 1 species